GAGUUUGAUCGUGGCUCAGAUUGAACGCUGGCGGCAUGCCUUACACAUGCAAGUCGAGCGGCAGCGCGGGGGCAACCCUGGCGGCGAGCGGCGAACGGUGAGUAAUGCAUCGGAACGUGUCCUCUUGUGGGGGAUAACCAGUCGAAAGACUGGCUAAUACCGCAUGAGAUCGAGAGAUGAAAGCAGGGGACCGCAAGGGCCUUGCGCGAGAGGAGCGGCCGAUGCCGGAUUAGCUAGUUGGUGGGGUAACGGCCUACCAAGGCGACGAUCCGUAGCUGGUCUGAGAGGACGACCAGCCACACUGGGACUGAGACACGGCCCAGACUCCUACGGGAGGCAGCAGUGGGGAAUUUUGGACAAUGGGGGCAACCCUGAUCCAGCCAUGCCGCGUGUGUGAAGAA
rnacentral:rRNA from 1 species